GACAGAGGGUGCAAACGUUGCUCGGAAUCAUUGGGCGUAAAGCGCGUGUAGGCGGCUUGUUACGUCGGGUGUGAAAGCCCAGGGCUCAACCCUGGCAGUGCACCCGAAACGGGGAAGCUGGAGUACUGGAGAGGCGAGUGGAAUUCCUGGUGUAGAGGUGAAAUUCGUAGAUAUCAGGAGGAACACCGGUGGCGAAGGCGACUCGCUGGCCAGUAACUGACGCUGAGACGCGAAAGCGUGGGGAGCAAACAGG
rnacentral:rRNA from 1 species